UAAUCUUCAGCAGACUCCACGCCAAGCACAGAGCUUGAUGCAGGGUUUGAUCCCAGGGCUCUGAGAUCAUGACCUGAACUGAAACCAAGAGCUGGCCAUUCAACCAACUGAGCCACGCAGGCUGCCCCUCAGGAACAGUUUUUAAAGACAUCAUCGUAGGAGUAAUCAUCUAGACUCUGAAGUAUAGUGUUUUUCCUAUCAACAAAUACUUUGGAAUCCCUCGGGUCUGGAGGUGUGGUCUGGUGUGGAGCAAACCUGAAGGUCCAGAGUUAACUGUGAAAUCAGGACAAAAUUCCUUUUUACUAACAGUAUCAGGAGCUGAAAUUGGAGUUAUCAUCCCUCUGUGUUAAAGAAGUCCUAAGGCUUCCAUUUCUACUGCACUUGGGGCAAGAGAUGUUGGGGAGCUUGCCUUUGGCCUCUGUGCCCCAUGGAUGCCAACUACAUGCUCCUCCAAGGUAAGGGCUGAAUUAUUCAGCUUCUCUUAUUUUCACCCCUACAGCGUGUGCAAGUCAGCUAGUGUUCAAUAAAGAUAU